GAUGAAGAACGUAGCGAAAUGCGAUAAGUAAUGUGAAUUGCAGAAUUCAGUGAAUCAUCGAAUCUUUGAACGCACAUUGCGCCCGCCAGUAUUCUGGCGGGCAUGCCUGUUCGAGCGUCAUUACAACCCUCAGGCCCCCGGGCCUGGCGUUGGGGAUCGACGGAAGCCCCCUGCGGGCACAACGCCGUCCCCCAAAUACAGUGGCGGUCCCGUCGCAGCUUCCAUUGCGUAGUAGCUAACACCUCGCAACUGGAGAGCGGCGCGGCCACGCCGUAAAACACCCAACUUCUGAAUGUUGACCUCGAAUCAGGUAGGAAUACCCGCUGAACUUAAGCAUAUCAAUAAGCGGAGGA
rnacentral:misc_RNA from 1 species